rnacentral:rRNA from 1 species
UUUGAUAGUACCUUCUACCUGGAUAACCGUGGUAAUUCUAGAGCUAAUACAUGCUAAAAACCUCGACUCACGAAGAGGUGUAUUUAUUAGAUAAAAAACCAAUGCCCUCCGGGGCUCAGUGGUGAUUCAUGAUAACUUAACGAAUCGCAUGGCCUUGCGCCGGCGAUGGUUCAUUCAAAUUUCUGCCCUAUCAACUUUCGAUGGUAGGAUAGUGGCCUACCAUGGUUUCAACGGGUAACGGGGAAUUAGGGUUCGAUUCCGGAGAGGGAGCCUGAGAAACGGCUACCACAUCCAAGGAAGGCAGCAGGCGCGCAAAUUACCCAAUUCUGACACAGAGAGGUAGUGACGAUAAAUACCGAUACAGGGCUCUUUCGGGUCUUGUAAUUGGAAUGAGUACAAUCUAAACCCCUUAACGAGGAACAAUUGGAGGGCAAGUCUGGUGCCAGCAGCCGCGGUAAUUCCAGCUCCAAUAGCGUAUAUUAAAGUUGUUGCAGUUAAAAAGCUCGUAGUUGAACCUUGGGCCUGGCCGAUCUGUCUUCCUAAUCGUUGUACGGAUUCGGUCGGGCCUUUCCUUCUGGGGAGCCCCAUGUCCUUCACUGGGCGUGGUGGGGAACCAGGACUUUUACCUUGAAAAAAUUAGAGUGUUCAAAGCAGGCCUUUGCUCGAAUACAUUAGCAUGGAAUAAUGGAAUAGGACAGCAGUUCUAUUUUGUUGGUUUCUAGGACCGCUGUAAUGAUUAAUAGGGAUAGUCGGGGGCGUCAGUAUUCAAUUGUCAGAGGUGAAAUUCUUGGAUUUAUUGAAGACUAACUAUUGCGAAAGCAUUCGCCAAGGAUGUUUUCAUUAAUCAGUGAACGAAAGUUAGGGGAUCGAAGACGAUCAGAUACCGUCGUAGUCUUAACCAUAAACUAUGCCGACUAGGGAUUGGACGGUGUUUCUUUUAUGACCCGUUCAGCACCUUACGAGAAAUCAAAGUUUUUGGGCUCUGGGGGGAGUACGGUCGCAAGGCUGAAACUUAA